UACGGAGGGGGCUAGCGUUGUUCGGAAUUACUGGGCGUAAAGCGCACGUAGGCGGCUUUGUAAGUUAGAGGUGAAAGCCCGGAGCUCAACUUCGGAAUUGCCUUUAAGACUGCAUCGCUUGAAUCAUGGAGAGGUCAGUGGAAUUCCGAGUGUAGAGGUGAAGUUCGUAGAUAUUCGGAAGAACACCAGUGGCGAAGGCGACUGACUGGACAUGUAUUGACGCUGAGGUGCGAAAGCGUGGGGAGCAAACAGG
rnacentral:rRNA from 1 species